rnacentral:tRNA from 1 species
UCCCUGGUGGCUCAGAGGUUAAAGCGUCUGCCCGCAAUGCAGGAGACCUAGGUUCGAUCCCUGGGUCGGGAA